rnacentral:rRNA from 1 species
UACGUAGGGGGCAAGCGUUGUUCGGAAUUACUGGGCGUAAAGGGCGCGUAGGCGGCCUGGUAAGUAGGGGGUGAAAUCCUGCGGCUUAACCGCAGGGGCUGCCUUCUAAACUGUCAGGCUUGAGCACGGUAGAGGCAGAUGGAAUUCCCCGGUGUAGCGGUGGAAUGCGUAGAGAUCGGGAAGAACAUCAGUGGCGAAGGCGGUCUGCUGGGCCGUUGCUGACGCUGAGGCGCGACAGCGUGGGGGAGCAAACAGG